GACGAACGCUGGCGGCGUGCUUAACACAUGCAAGUCGAACGGAGUACCCUCGAAAGAGAUUUCGGUCAAUGGAGAGGACUACUUAGUGGCGGACGGGUGAGUAACGCGUGAGGAACCUGCCUUUCAGAGGGGGACAACAGUUGGAAACGACUGCUAAUACCGCAUAACGUACGGGUAUCGCAUGGUACUGGUACCAAAGAUUUAUCGCUGAGAGAUGGCCUCGCGUCUGAUUAGCUAGUUGGUAGGGUAACGGCCUACCAAGGCGACGAUCAGUAGCCGGACUGAGAGGUUGGCCGGCCACAUUGGGACUGAGAUACGGCCCAGACUCCUACGGGAGGCAGCAGUGGGGAAUAUUGGGCAAUGGGCGCAAGCCUGACCCAGCAACGCCGCGUGAAGGAAGAAGGCUUUCGGGUUGUAAACUUCUUUUGACAGGGAAGAGCAGAAGACG
rnacentral:rRNA from 1 species